rnacentral:lncRNA from 1 species
CCCUCACUCGCCCCAAUCGCACCUCGCUCCCUCCCCCUCACCUGAACCCCCUUCCCCUGGCGGCUCCAUGCACCUCGCUCGACCCUGCCGAUCCGGUCGGCCCGACGCGUCGCCGGCCUCCAGCGACCUCGCCGGCCAUCGUCGUUGACCCCUCGCCGACCUCCUCACCCCGAGCCUGCUGACCCCGCUCCUCUACUCCCGCAUGUGAGGCCCCUCCUCCUCCCAUUUCCCCUCGCUGCACCCCCCUCUAGCGAGCGCUCCGGUGACACUCCGGUGAGAUCCCUCGUCAUCGGCCGCACCCUGGCCACCCCGACACGCGUGCACACAAACUCUCACACAUGCCACCGCUUGCGCCCUCGCCGUGCAACCGCUCCGCCCAACGGAGCUCGCCGGUCGCUGAGCCACCGCGGCUGUUCCCUGCUUCGUCCACCCCUCCGGCCAUCGUGUCGCGCCCGCACCCGCUCAUGCCGCCCCAGACAGCUCGCUGACUCUGUCGGUCGCUGGCCACCUCCAGCCAUCGAGGCAGUCGACCAUUUGCCCGUCGCUGCCCCCUCCGGCCCCUGCUCGCUGGUCUCGCUAGGAGCCGCUAGCCGUGGCUCGGCAGGCCUCGGCCCCGAGCUUCCUCCUCCCAUGUUUUGGUCAGUGGGGUGAACUGCCCCAAUCACCCCAUUUGCCCUCUAGCUCAAUGACAUAAGGGGCCCACCCCCUGCUAAAAACGUUUUAAGAAAAUUAAUAAUAAAUAAAAAUAAAUAAAUAAAUAGGUAACUAAGUGGUUAAUUAGUAAGUAAAUUAGUUGACUUAAUUCAGACUAAUUUGUAUAAUUCAUUAGGAUAAUUAAUUUGGUUAAUUAAACCUAAUUUAUUUAAUAAAUUCUAUUAAUUAAUUAGAGGUGAAUGCCACAUGGGGCCCACCCUAUUUAUUAAACCUAAUUUUAAUUAAAUUAAAACUGAAUUAACACUAGGUCUCUAAAGUGGGACCCACUCGUAAGUUGAUGAGUCAACUAAGAUUGUUGAUCGAUGAUGUCAGCAUGACAUCAUGCUGAUGUCAAAUAUAUUUGUUGAAUUGAAAUAAAUCUAUUUCAUUUCUAAAUAUUAAUAAAACUUUAAAAAAUAAUUUAUAGCAAUCCGUAAUCGGGACGAAAAUAAUUCAUAUAUGAAAGUUGCCCAGAAAAAUCCAACAAACCCAGAUACACUGUCCAUUCGUGUGUUAUGCGUCCCUAGCAUAGCGAACAUGGAACAUUUCCAUCUGUUUCGCCUAUCCGGUAGUGGCCACAGACCCGGGAAAUAUCGUUAGGUAUUUUCCUGAUCCAUCCAUGAUGUGUAGUACUGCGUUAGCUCAUGCCUAGCACUACCUAUAGCCAUGUCAUGCUUUGUGAUGCAUUUGAUUGCUCUAUUAUUUAUUGUGUUUACCCUACAUUUCUUCCUUUCCGGUAGACCCUGAGAUCGUGGAUGAUCCGGUGUUCGACUACUUCCUGGUCGAGGAUCCGUUUUUGUCUGCAGAGCAACAAGGCAAGCAAACCCCCUUGAUCAUUCCUAUAUCACCUAUUCUUUCUCCCUCAUGCUUGCAUUAGAAUUUUUCUACUGUUGUAGUUAGCUCCUAUAUCUGAUGCAUAGCCUGUUUUUGAUAAACUGCUAUAUUAUUCUUCUACACCUUAAAACUGUUUAGUAUAGGUGGACCAGUCAUCCCCUUCGACCCUUAGACCAGUUGCCCCCUCUUUUUCGUCAAGUCUCGAUCAACUGAUCGAUGAGCCAUGACCCGACACAACACUCACACCCCCUUAGUUGUACGACGUUGUAGAGAUACUAUCAAGUACUGAGGGUGACACCUUGUUACGUACUCUGAUGUUAGCGUUGUAGUGUAGUUGACCGACGGUUGUUCUCGGAGGGUGAUUCCUCCUUCACCACCUCCGAUAAUGAUUGUCGUACAACCCAUCAAGUGUGGCUCAUCGAGGGUGAUUCCUCCCUGGCCACCUUGACGGUUACAUUGUUCGGAAUCCAUCGAGGGUGAUACCUCGGAUCCCCAUGAUGUUAAAACAACACAGUUACUGGGAACAUUGAUGAAUAAAUGUUAGGCGUGUGGAUUUCCCGCGUGGAUGUGUAGAUGAGUUAAUUAAAAUGCUAAGGAUUUGGGUAUUUGAUGGGUUGGUUGGAGACCUUUUGGCACUAACCGUCUACCUGGGAUAAGUUAUGGGUACUCAAUGUCUUAGUAUCAGCCGAAGCUCUUGAAACUUCAGCAAUGGAGCGACGCGCACCCGAGUGCCCCGGAUAAGCAUCGUUAUUGUAUAAGAGGUGCCAGGACUAACGUUGGCCACCCUCGCAUCAUGCAGGAGUGCAAAGGGUGAUGGUUCCAAGACCCCUGCGCGCUUAGGAUUUAGACCAACGGGCUGAUCUCUCUGUUGAGCCUAGGUGGGGUUGCGACAUGUUGAAAUUCCGAGGCCGGGCAUGACCCAGCAAAGUGUGUCCAGCCAGAGUUUAUCGAGCGUGACAGGAAACUUGGUGCACCCCUGUAGGGAUGAAAAUUAACUAUUUAGAUAGUUGUGUCCAUGGUUACAGGAUGAUUUGGAGUUGUGCCCCGGUCUUAUACAACUACAACUGUUACUUAACUGGAAUGUUUGCUCCGGGAUUGCUUCCUCGAAGGGAGUCAAGGGAGGAUCUCUAGGCGUGACUUUAUUUAGUAUUGCUGCAACAAUAUGACUAUUAAGUGUGUUACAUGUUCUACUGUAGUCUAUGCUGCAAGACUCGUGAAGAUGCUAGUCUUCGAUAGGACUAGGAUUUCUCUCUCUAUUCUCGCAUUGCUGCAGUCAGUCCAUAUAUAACCCCUUCCUUUGAUAAUGAUGCAUACUUAGCAAAGUUCUGAUGUCAGUCUUGCGAGUACUUUGGAUGAGUACUCACCGUUGCUUUGCUCCCCUUUUCCCCUUGAUCCGUUGCUGCGACCAGAUGAUGGAGCCCAGGAAAUGGUUUUUCCCGCCGACGACGACUGCUACCCCGACGGUGCCUACUACUAUGUGUAGUCCGCUGACGACCAGGAGCAGUUAGGAGGUUCCCAGGCAGGAGGCCUCGCCUCGUUCGAUCGCUCUAUCUCUUGUGCUAGCCUUCUCUAAGGCAUUGUCCUGUUUCAUAUUUGUACUCAGAUAUUUGUUGCUUCCGCUGAGUCGUGUGUUUAUCGAGCUUGUGUAUACUAUCCCUCGAGGCCCCUGGCUUUUAAUAUGAAGCUUGUAUGUUUUGUAUUAUUUGUGUCUAGAGUUGUGUUGUGAUAUCUUCACGUGAGUCCUUGGGCUUGGUCGUACGCAUUUGUGUGUAUGAUUAGCGUACGAUCAAAUCGAGGGUGUCACAAGUUUGUAUCAGAGCUGACUGCCUAUAGGUAGCCCCCUUUCCAAAUCGUUGGCCGAAGUUGAGUCUAGUACUUGAAAAACUUACUAACUUUGAUGUUGUUGCUGACGGGCCCACAUCUCAAUCGGGUGGUAUUAAUAUCUUGUACUCCUUUUCUAUACUCUAGGUUCUACUUUCUCUUCUCUUUUAGGUUAAAGAAUUUGCUAACUCUAACUUUAGGUUCUCGUAAAUACUUUCUCCCGGAGAGCUCCGCGUUCCAGGUGAUGGCUUGACUUGUUAGAAGACUCCGAAGAUUCUUUGUGAUGUUCUCUCUAGAACUUGUGAUCAUCGCUUUUGCGAUUUCCCUUCCUCCAUCAACCCUAUGGAUGACUACGUACAAUGUUGUUCAUAACUUCUUUUGUCGUUGCUCUUGUUUUUACAAGUGUGGGGACCCCGACUUACGAGUCGAGAUCGCUGAAUGAACGUGCUCAGUGAUCCCAGAGAUCAAUGCUCACCGAACACAGAGAUACUGAAUAUUAAGAGUCUUACAUCCAAGUAUCGAAUUAUUACAUCACAUGACCGAAUGGUCAAGUUCACAAGGUAGGGCCUAUAAGUCCAAAUCACACUGAUACAACUAGUAGCGGAAAUCUUAGGGCUAAGUGGGUGCCCAUGCCACCAGCCUACACCAACAAGCAUUCUGAC